UGGAUUAUCUACCCUGGAGUGGGGAAUAACGCUGGGAAACCGGCGCUAAUACCGCAUAUUCCCGAGAGGGGAAAGCAGCAAUGCGCUCGAGGAGGAGUCCGCGGCCGAUUAGCUAGUUGGCAGGGUAAAACGCCUACCAAGGCUAUGAUCGGUAGCCGGCCUGAGAGGGCACGCGGCCACACUGGCACUGAAACCACGGUCCAGACUCCGUACGGGAGCAG
rnacentral:rRNA from 1 species